ensembl:lncRNA
UCAGCUUGAAUAGACCGAAGAAAUUUCUCGCAGUUCGUGGGGAGGAAAAAUGUUCUCCAUCUGUGAGGCCAGAAAUACUGGCUCAGCUGCCCUGGGGCGGGGGCAGGGGUGUCCUACAGGCUCAACCCCCAGGCUCCGCUGUUCCUUCUGGGGAGGCCGGAGUUGAGUCACAGAUCACUGUGAGGCCUCGUCUGCGCUGCAGAAAAUGAGUUUGACCCAUGGAAAGAAUCUUACCCUAUUUCCUUUGGAUGAUGCUGGUAUAAAAAUGCAUGCUUCACACAAUCAACCUUUCGGACAAAGGAUUCUGACAGAAGGUCUGGCCACAGUGAUGAGGGCAACAUGGACCCCAAAGCCCGUCCGCCUUUUUGAAAUUCUGCUGCCAAGUCACUGGCCGGACUGGACACGGUCUGCUCUUCUUGCCUGUCUCUUUGCCCAGCCAGGAGCUCAAGACACGAAGCAGCAGAGUCGUCCAAUCCCGCCAGAUUUCCUAUGGGAACUACUGCCGAUGGACAAAGCACGGCCUACUGAAGUGCUCAAACGUCAUGCAAAACUCUAACUACGAAAGGCCUCCGGACACCAGGCAAUUUUGCUACUUUCCAUGUUUAAGAAUUCUAACCUAAGUGGCAGUGGUCACUCUUUGUCACUGUAGCAUCUGACCUCAGGGACUCGGACAUAAAAUCACGGUUCAAUUCCGAGGUUGGGUGGCACAGUAGUGUCAGAUAGUUCUGAACACACAAUUUGACAUGUUUUCAACCACCUGAAACUCUAUCAGCACACUAUUUGGUGUUCAUUGAACAGUCACGGUCUGAGAAUUAAAGAACCCUAACUAUAAAUGUUUCACGUCACAAAACCUAAUUAUAACUGAGGAUCUACUCCACGUCUAAUUAAAAGAACUACACAACGACUUUCAUCCAACAGCAACUGCUACGAAGGGAAAGAUAGGAAAAAACCGACUGCACAAAAAUACACUAAAAAAUUGGACAAUUGUUCGCAGGAACUGCCAAAGUUUUAGUGUUUAAUAGCACAACUGACCAAGGUCCAAGAUAGGAAGUUACCAUGUUCAGGAAACACGGGGGGUGGGGGGGAGAGGUCACUCUAUAACCUAACUCUAUAGUAUGUGGCAAGAAGAAUGCACACUUUAUAAUAUAAAACCUGUCUACACAUAGUAGUUAGUUGCAAAAAGCCAUCCGUCGUCUCUUGGCUUGUAAAAAGGGUGUUCUGGAUUUCAGUGCAAUUGAGCCACCUGUCGGAAAAGGGAAAGUCAUCAACGUGCCAGUCAUUCUCUAAGGAUAAAUGAAAAAUAACACACAGAAUGAGCAGCCACGUUCUCAAUCCUCCUACUUUACGCAGUAUCCUAGCAAAAACACACGGGAAGUCUUUGUUAAAGAGAUGAGCGUGGAUCUUCUUCCUCCUCCCACUCUCUGCCACUGUUCCCCGCCCGUGACAUUCCUCGGCCCUCCCGACAGUGUUCUCAUUCACUCCGUGGGGUUUCUGAUGCCAAAUGAUAGUGAGAGCCAGAGAAACGCCUAAGACGGGCAGGACACUGCCCAAGGUUCCUGGGUAGAGGAUCCAAGAUGAUAAGCCCCGUAAAACUACUAUGUGAUUUACUUACAUAGCGAAUCCACCUAAGCUACUGUUAACAACAAACUGGAAAGUCUUUACCUCUCAAACCUCUAUUUAUUUUCUUGGACUUCUGAGUUGCAGUGAGGUAACC